CCGGCAGCUCAAGGGGCUGGCAUGGUUGGAAUCUCGCUGGGGCCUCCAGAAAUGUUGCAGCAAAGUGUGUUACAG
rnacentral:miRNA from 1 species